rnacentral:rRNA from 1 species
GGCAGCAGGCGCGCAAAUUACCCACUCCCGGCACGGGGAGGUAGUGACGAAAAAUAACAAUACGGGACUCUUUUGAGACCCCGUAAUUGGAAUGAGUACACUCUAAAUCCUUUAACGAGGAUCUAUUGGAGGGCAAGUCUGGUGCCAGCAGCCGCGGUAAUUCCAGCUCCAAUAGCGUAUAUUAAAGUUGUUGCGGUUAAAAAGCUCGUAGUUGGAUCUCAGUUCCAGACGGGCGGUCCGCCUAACGGUGGUUACUGCCUGGCCUGAACAGCCAGCCGGUUUCCCUAGAUGAUCUUCACCGGUUGUCUUGGGUGACCGGCACGUUUACUUUGAAAAAAUUAGAGUGCUCAAAGCAGGCGUGUAGCCUGAAUAAUGGUGCAUGGAAUAAUGGAAUAGGACUUCGUUUCUAUUUUGUUGGUUUUCGGAACACGAGGUAAUGAUUAAGAGGGACAGACGGGGGCAUUCGUAUUGCGACGCUAGAGGUGAAAUUCUUGGACCGUCGCAAGACGA